rnacentral:rRNA from 1 species
GACGAACGCUGGCGGCGUGCUUAACACAUGCAAGUCGAACGGAAAGGCCUCUUUCGGGGGGUACUCGAGUGGCGAACGGGUGAGUAACACGUGAGUAACCUGCCCUGACUUUGGGAUAAAUUCAGGAAACUGGGGCUAAAAACGGAUAGGAGCUCCUGCUGCAUGGUGGGGGUUGGAAAGUUUCGGCGGUUGGGGAUGGACUCGCGGCUUAUCAGCUUGUUGGUGGGGUAGUGGCUUACCAAGGCUUUGACGGGUAGCCGGCCUGAGAGGGUGACCGGCCACAUUGGGACUGAGAUACGGCCCAGACUCCUACGGGAGGCAGCAGUGGGGAAUAUUGCACAAUGGGUGGAAGCCUGAUGCAGCAACGCCGUGUGCGGGAUGACGGCCUUCGGGUUGUAAACCGCUUUCGCUCAUGACGAAGCUUUGUGUGACGUUAGUGGGUAAAGAAGCACCGGCUAACUACGUG